rnacentral:pre_miRNA from 1 species
NAAGUACUCCCUCCGUCCCAAAAUUCUUGUCUUAGAUUUGUCUAGAUACGGAUGUAUCAAGUCACAUUUUAGUAUUAGAUACAUCCGUAUCUAGACAAAUCUAAGACAAGAAAUUUGGGACAAAGGGAGUAGUUG